GACGUAGGGUGCAAGCGUUGUCCGGAUUUAUUGGGCGUAAAGAGCUCGUAGGCGGCUCGUCGCGUCGGCUGUGAAAACUCGGGGCUUAACCCUGGGCUUGCAGUCGAUACGGGCGGGCUGGAGUUCGGUAGGGGAGACUGGAAUUCCUGGUGUAGCGGUGAAAUGCGCAGAUAUCAGGAGGAACACCGGUGGCGAAGGCGGAUCUCUGGGCCUUACCUGACGCUGAGGCGCGAAAGCUAGGGGAGCAAACAGG
rnacentral:rRNA from 1 species